rnacentral:rRNA from 1 species
AUUGAACGCUGGCGGCAUGCCUUACACAUGCAAGUCGAACGGCAGCACGGGUGCUUGCACCUGGUGGCGAGUGGCGAACGGGUGAGUAAUACAUCGGAACAUGUCCUGUAGUGGGGGAUAGCCCGGCGAAAGCCGGAUUAAUACCGCAUACGAUCUACGGAUGAAAGCGGGGGACCUUCGGGCCUCGCGCUAUAGGGUUGGCCGAUAGCUGAUUAGCUAGUUGGUGGGGUAAAGGCCUACCAAGGCGACGAUCAGUAGCUGGUCUGAGAGGACGACCAGCCACACUGGGACUGAGACACGGCCCAGACUCCUACGGGAGGCAGCAGUGGGGAAUUUUGGACAAUGGGCGAAAGCCUGAUCCAGCAAUGCCGCGUGUGUGAAGAAGGCCUUCGGGUUGUAAAGCACUUUUGUCCGGAAAGAAAUCCUUGGCUCUAAUACAGUCGGGGGAUGACGGUACCGGAAGAAUAAGCACCGGCCAACUACGUG